GAGGUGGGCCAAGCUCGGCUCGGCUUGUCCAUGCUGUACUCGAUUUCGAGCUCAAGCUCAACAUUGAAGCUUGGCUUGUUUGCCAAAGUUGUCCAGUCGAGUUCGAGUCGAGCUAGUGGUUCGAGUUGAGUCGAGUUUACCUCGAUACGAGAGCUUUUUCAUAUGUUAACUUAUUAAAUUUUUGGCAAAAAAAUACAAAUUAAAUGUCUCAUAUCACACAUGCAUUUGAAACAUGUUAAUUAUCAUAUGUUUGAGCUGUGUGGGGCCCAUCACGAAGUGUGAUUGCCAUCUGACCUGUCCAUUAAUGUGCCCCAGCAUUAGGCCUAGAUCAAUCCAACCUGAUUCAUAACUUAAGUGGGCCACACCAAAGGGAAUGUUGGGGAGAAGACACCCACCAUAGCAACUUCCAGGUGGAAUGUGGGGUCCACCUAUUGUGUAUAUGUCAUCCAACUUAGUUAUCAGGUAUGCCCCACAAGGAUCAAGGGACUCACUGGAAUUCAGCCACAACAAGUGAACAUGCAGGAUGUAGGGAUCUGGUGUUGUAACAAGAGCAGCCGUUCAUCCUCCUAAUCCAUCUCUAAUUGCUCAACCGUGUCCAAAUCCGAAUCAUGGUUACAUUAGAUGAUUUGGAAAAAAAAAGGCAAAAAAGAGAAUGAUUUGGAAACUAUGAGGUGGGAAAACCAAACAAAACAAAAAACGAAAAAAGCAAAGAGUAAUUUCUUAAAAUAAAGGCAUGGAUGUGCCAGGAGACAAGUGUUAAGCGAGUCGGGAUUGGGCGCGUGGCUAUGUGGUCUUCUUCGCUUGGCGAGAUCGAGCGGGCAGGCAACGGGCAAGCAGCGUGCUAGUCGUGCGCCGGUGGUGGUGGUCCGGUGGAUUUCUAUUGGUCGGGCGCCGGGGGGGCGUGCGGUGGGUAGAGAAAGAGAAGAAAGGGAAAGGGACUGCUUGCUAGGGUUGGGUGGAGUCGGGUGUUUGAGUGACUUAUAUAUAUAUAUAUAUAUAAUAUUUAAUAAAUUAAUAUUCUUAUUAAACGAGCCGAGUCGAGCUCGAGUUCGAGCUUCGAGUCGAGUCGAGUCGAGUUGAAAUGCCCCCUGGUUGAACUCGGCUUGAACUCAACUCGAGCUAUAAAAAAUCAGCUUGACUCCGCCCGAGUCGGCCAUUCAAGCCGAGUCAAUCCGAGCUGACUCGAGCCGAGUCGAGCGAGUUAGUCGAGCUAGCUCAACUCGUGAACAGCCCUAUUGUCAAUUGGUCGAGGCCACCUCGGGGCUAGGUCAAAGUGAAUGUUGAUGGAUCGGCGAGGGGGAACCUGAGCCCUUCUGGAGGGGGUGGAGUGGGAAGAAACAGUAGUGGGGAGUUGCUCUUUACUUUCGCUUUUGGGUAUGGGAGAGGUUCUAAUUCGAGGGCGGAAUUUAGGGCGAUUCUGGAUGGCAUCAAACAAUGUGCUCAUCUUGGGUUCUCGAGAGUGGAGAUAUCCAACAACUCUAGUACGGCGGUUGCGGCCCUCGCCAAGGAGGCGAACGGGUCCUGGCCCUUGUGGUACUGGAGGAGAAGGAUUGAUGCUCUUAGACGUACCUUGGAGGUUCGUAUCUCUCAUAUGCUUAGGGAAUCCAACGUGGUGGCAGAUGGGCUAGCCAGACUGGGGAGCGAGUCCCAAUUGGUGACGGUUUUCAGAUCUAAGGAGUCCCUUCCCACUACCAUCAAGGGUCAUAUGUUCCUGGACAGAGUAGGUUUGGGCUACCUAAGGGAGGUCUAGUCCUCUCAGGGUGUCAGUUUUUCUUUCCUUUUGCUCACGGGAUAGGCGGGCCACCCCUUUUUGUCGCUGGCCCGGCCCGAAUUAGUUCUAGCUCUGUAUAGCCUUGGGCUGCAAUACAAUCACUCUUUCGAAAAAAAAAAAUGUCCUCCCCAAAAUAAGGCCAGUCCAUUUAUUAGGUUGUCCAUCGGUUGAUGUGGCUAAUGCAGGGACACCAAAACGUGGCCAAAUUGUUUAAUUCAUAAUAUUGAAAAAAAUAAUUUACAGCGAUCCUGUGAUAGGAUGGAUGAGAAGUCAUUCCUACCGAAGUGUGGCUAGGAUCAGCAAACACCUCCGGGUAGCUUUCCCUUUAUUGAAUGUGAUACCCUCCCGACCUGGAAUAUAUACUAAACCAACUUUGGCAUAACCCAAUGCAUCCCAAAGGUCCCAAGAACCCUCCAUGUAACAGAUGAAAAUUCACGGUGGAGAAACAUAAUGAUACUUUUAGACAUAAGAUGCAGCCAUUUAUGAGAAUAAUCUUUCUUUUCCAGAGUUCAUCAACAUUGAUAAAUUUUCCUUCCACAACAAACAAUCCAAAAAACAGACACCUUUCUUGGCACCCUUGGAAAUUGCCAAAUGUGUGCAUCUAAUUCAUGAUUAAAAGCCUUACUGUGAAGGUCCCAUUAGAAUCCAACUCCCAUCUCCACCUAUCUCUCUUCCCCGAUAUAGAAACAACGUUGUUUUUUAUUUUAUUUUAUUAUAAUAAUUAUUAUUAUUUAAUUCUUCUUGUAGUAUGACAAACUCCUGAAUUUCUGUUUCCAUUAGGUUCCUGGUAAAACAAGGAUUCCAUCUAAAUGCACCUCCCUCUAACUUAAAACAGUCUGCUCUCCUUAAAAAUCCCGUCCAAGGUUGUAGUGUAUAAAUUUCAGAAGAGGUAAUGUAUACUACUCAAAGGUAAGUCUUCUUUCAUUGCCCUUAUGAAAUUAUGUAAUUGCCCUUAUAAAUUAUGAAAUUACCAUCGAUAACGAUAAGUUGAUUUAGCCUUCACAUAUCAAGGGCAUUAAAGUAUUUUUCUUCCUGUACCGGUGUGAUUACAAAUAUGCCCUUUGCAUACAAUAUCUAUGAAAUUUAUGUUGUUGAAAUUUAUACACUUUCUAUUUUUCCUAUUAAGUGUUUGCAUUUUCUUAUUAGAAUUGACUCUUACUGAGUCAAUGCCUGAGCAGUUAAUGGAGAAGGACUACAAAUUAAUUGGCAAUAUGUCUAGGCUGCCUUGAAUCUAGCUAAGUGCCAUUGUUGUAAAGAGAAAACUUUGAUACUUUGGAAGAAUGUGAUGUUUCAUACACAUGCACAUAGAAAUUGUGAUGUGGCAAAGAGGUAACCUGAACUGAACUGUGUAAAUCAGGGCCCACUUUACAUGGGUCAUGAACAAAAAUUUCAUGGAACUGAUAUGUUACCUAGCCAGUUGGUUACUUCUAAAUAGAAGGUUGAAAUUCAAAUAGUCAACUUUCCAAAUUUGGCAAACAAAUGUGUAUCAAUACAAGGAUGUAGUCUCUCCUUUUAAGUUCAUAUUCAGCGUUGUCAUGGCGCUGUAUUUUUUAUAGUUUUUUCAGUUUUUUGUGUUGUACAGCGGUUCUAUACGAUGAUAGGUGUGGCCUAUUCCUUUUUGUGGAGCCCACCCGAAUGAUUAUACUACAUUUUUUUUUGGUUGAAUAAAAAGAAAAAAAAAGGUGAGACUCAUCUGAAAAUCAGGGUGGGAAAUGUUCUUCCAGUGGUCUGGUAUCAUCUGAAGGUUAGGCUGCAAGUUUCAGUUGUAUUCCUACAAAGCGUCACGCAACUAGUCGUUGCUACUUUCAGAACCUGUCUUUCAGCAAACUGGCACGCCCAUAGCCACGGUGUGAAUGUUUUUUUUUAUUAUUCAGACUGUUGUUCUUUUUUUCUCUCCCUUGUGUAGCAGUAUAGAUGGUUGCAGAUAGGGGUGGGCUGCUGUGGAGUGAUGUGUUGCUCUGAUCUUUUUAUGUCCUGUGAAUGGGCUGAUGUUUAUAGGGAUGGCUAAUCUGAUCAUCCGUGGUAUGUGGAAGGAGUUCUUGAAUGGGGUCUGCUGUCCGUAGGGAGGGCUAUGCUAUGGUAAUUGAAUAAUAAAAUAAAAAUUCCAGGCAAGGUAUGCUUUACCAAGGAAUGCACCAAAUUAUUCUUUUGCAUUGGCUCGCUGCAGUUUGAUUGGCGCAUAGAUGGUAAAAUGUCUUCUUUCCUAUUAAUUGAGGGUAGAGGUCCUAUAUGCAUGCUAGUUCAGAGGAUUGAUUCUCCCCUGUUUUUGGUCUACUGGGUAGGCUUUUUUUUUUUUGUUUUUUGUUUUUUGUUUUUCCUGCUUAGGGAGGCGGGAAGAAUUGUACUUUUCCUAUUUUGGUCUGGUUUCGUCUGUGGUUCAGCCCUGUGAGACCUUGUGCAUCGCUGUAUAAAGGAAAGAGUUGUGUCAUGCGAUAGGUGAGGUCCUUUUUGUGGCGUCCACCUGAAUGCCUUGUACAGAUCUUUUAAUGUUACAGGUUGUGUGCUCUCAAUUUUCUUAACCAAAAAAUAAAAAAAUAAAAAAAAAAUCAAACUCAUCUGAUUUGGGUUCUAUGACCUAUCUGCAGCGGGUUCUACAAUUCACAUGGUUUAAUUCAAGUUAUAUGUAUGCUGGAUCUCCAACUGCUUAGUUCAUGCUUAUGACUGUCAUACACUGCCAAGAUAUCAAAUAACUCCACGGAUGCAAAUAUUUAUUGAUGUACUUUUCGAUUGAAUUAUCUUUGGAAAUCAUUGUCCUGUUAAAUUCUUAGGAUUGCCUUUGCAUGACAGGCUAUCAGCCACAAUGCUGUCCUUAACCUCAUCCAAGAUGGUCUAGUAUAAGUUACAGAAAUGUGCUGCAAACAGACUGUCCUAAUGCCAUUAUCUUCCCAAAACCUUUUCUUGUUAUCCAAAGGACAAAGGAAAUGCCUUCGCAGAAUUCCUAUCUGCCCUUCAUUGCUUCAACAAACCAAAUUCCUUAUAUGAGGAUUCCUUUGUAAAUCACCCUCCUUCCUGCAUGCCAUUCUUUAUGACAAUUACUUGAAUCCACGGAGAGUUAUCUUGGUUCCCAAACCUCCAUAACCACUUGCCAAUGAGUGCCCAAUUGAUGAUUAUUAAGUCCUUUAUGCCUAUAUGACCAUCGUCCUGAGGAUGGUAUCCUUCCAAUUAACCAAAUGAUUAGUAUUUUGAUCAAUGACAUGAAGUAAAUUGGCAAAUUUGAGAGAGCUUCCUUUCUUCAUAAGAGUGAAUAUUCGACUUCACAAUGAUAGGUAUUUGCUUUUCCAUGCCGAAUGUUUUCAUUUCAAAUCACUCUAUCACCAAGUGGACUUACUAAACCUCAUACAUCACACAUGAAUUUUGAAAAGGAAAAAAAAUCUCCUGAGAAAGCAACAUAACACCAUUAUAUGGUUUAAAUAGUUAAGUAUUUAUUCGAAAGUGCAUGGGUGAUGUUGUAGUUAAUUGCAUGCUUUCCUGGAUGACAUAUUAGCAAUUUUCCAUUUUGCAUUGGAGGGGAAUGCUCUCAAGGCCAUAGAACUGACAGAACGGCUAGUGCAUGACCUUUAUUUUUCAUGAACGGGGGAGCACGCCACUUAAAGUUUUAUUAAAUGGAGAAAAAGAGUGUAUCAAUUCAGAGGUGGAAAACAAAGAGCCCUCCCACCUCGAUACAAUACAAAACUAUAUCUACAAUGCAGCAGAACAAAACCUUAAAAAAAAAAAAAAGCAUCUGCAACACAAAACAAGCAACCACACCAUCAUCGGUAUCCAAAACUUCUCAAAACCAAAAGCAAAACUACCCAAACAUGGCAUCUAACAGAAACACUCAUGCCAUAACUCGCCAUCAGCCAACCAGAGACAGCAAUAGAAGUUCAACCACAAAGUUGCCAAGAAAUCACAUACACUGCAAACCUUAGCCAUCGUUUCACCUGACUGGUCUAAGAGCAAACUGCCUCUAAUGUCGCUGGGGAAAUUCUUCAUGUUCUGCACAAAUCUAUAUCCUUCCACACCACUUCCCAUCUUUGCUAAGACAUCUGCUACUGAAUUGUUCUCGUGAGGCUAUCCGACAUUGGUUCUUUGCUCAUUGGCUGGACUUGGACAUGUCACUUGACUUGCUUCAUCUACCUUUCCCUGCAGCAUCCUUAUCUGCUGCCAUUCAGGGCUAGAAUGAUGAAUGACUCUUGCCUGCAAUGCUCAGACUAAGUCAUUUAGGUAUACAAUUAGAUUGAUGUUCCGGUAAGGAAGAGGUUCCAGACUCCUGGAUAUGCACUGCAGUAUUCGAACUCCUAGCAAAUUUUCAACCUCAUAGCCCAGACCUUCAGAUCGGGCCAGGACUUGCUGCAGAAAAACAAGAAUUUGCAUUUUGAUCUCUCAGGCCUUCCUUUUGUUGAGCUUGUUUGCUCUAGAAAAUGGUGAGGGAAUCUUUAUGAAUUAUACUCUUGCCCUUCAACGGAAAGCAAUAUUCACCUUAACUUUCAUGGCAGCACAGAAGCUCUGGAGUCUGCUGAGGCCAAAUUGACACCAUUUGGUAAUGUGGACAAAUAUGUGGAGAAACUGGAAAUACAUCUUAUACUAAUUUUCUCUCUUCUAAGUUUCUAGCUAUAUUCUUUUAUUUACCACAAACCAACAUAUGGGCGUGUCCAAUAUGUGGGAAUUGAUUUCUACAUCCCACUCUUAUAUAUUGCAGCAUCCUUUCCUUGAGUUUGGAUUGCUAAAUGACAGACAUAUAUUGGACCUAUAUUGCGCAAACUGAAAAUCUGAGAACCUAUGCUUAUUUCUGAGCUAAGGAUCAUAUAAUUCAUCUUUAAUCCUGACUGUUUGUUUGAUCUGUGUACCUUAGAUAACAACAUUCAGGAUACUUGAUCACAUGCAGUAAUUUAAAGAUUGAUAGUGUUGGCUGAUACUAUCUAUUUCGCUGGUUGGCAACACAAGAUAGGAGGGAAUUCUCCGAAGUCAAGAGUCUUAUUGUAGAAUGGGCCCAAGUUCAUGGGGCAAUUCAGGGGAUUUUCUAAGGGCUUUCUUUAAUGUUUUGGGAUGAUUGUAGAAUGGGCCCAAACCUUCUCACUUUCGCCCUUUAAAAUGCAAUUAGUGUGGAGAAAUCGUAUGUGAUUGUACGGUGAUCUACAGAUUGUUCACACUCUUUCAUUUUGGUUUUUGAAUGUAUUACUUGUAUUAUAGGAUAUUUGAAUGAUAUUAUUUCAUUUUGGAUAAAUAAUUCUAU